rnacentral:rRNA from 1 species
GACGAACGCUGGCGGCGUGCUUAACACAUGCAAGUCGAACGAAAAUACCAAGCUUGCUUGGUUGAUUAGUGGCGAACGGGUGAGUAACACGUGAGUAACCUGCCCCUUACUUUCCUGGAUAACUGCUCGAAAGGGUAGCUAAUACGGGAUAUUCUGACCAGCCUGCAUGGGUUGGUUUGGAAAGGUUGUUUUUCUGGUAAGGGAUGGGCUCGCGGCCUAUCAGCUUGUUGGUGGGGUGAUGGCCUACCAAGGCUUUGACGGGUAGCCGGCCUGAGAGGGUGGAAGGUCAAACUGGGAACGGGAUACGGCCCAGACUCCUACGGGAGGCAGCAGUGGGGAAUAUUGCACAAUGGGCGCAAGCCUGAUGCAGCGACGCCGCGUGAGGGAUGAAGGCCUUCGGGUUGUAAACCUAUUUCGUCAGGGAACAAGGCACUGCUUUUUUGGUGGUGUAGAGGGUACCUGGAUAAGAAGCGCCGGCUAACUACGUG